rnacentral:rRNA from 1 species
AAGGACGUGCUAAUCUGCGAUAAGCGUCGGUAAGGUGAUAUGAACCGUUAUAACCGGCGAUUUCCGAAUGGGGAAACCCAGUGUGAUUCGUCACACUAUCAUUAACUGAAUCCAUAGGUUAAUGAGGCGAACCGGGGGAACUGAAACAUCUAAGUACCCCGAGGAAAAGAAAUCAACCGAGAUUCCCCCAGUAGCGGCGAGCGAACGGGGAGCAGCCCAGAGCCUGAAUCAGUGUGUGUGUUAGUGGAAGCGUCUGGAAAGGCGUGCGAUACAGGGUGACAGCCCCGUACACAAAAAUGCACAUAUUGUGAGCUCGAUGAGUAGGGCGGGACACGUGGUAUCCUGUCUGAAUAUGGGGGGACCAUCCUCCAAGGCUAAAUACUCAUGACUGACCGAUAGUGAACCAGUACCGUGAGGGAAAGGCGAAAAGAACCCCGGCGAGGGGAGUGAAAAAGAACCUGAAACCGUGUACGUACAAGCAGUGGGAGCACGCUUAGGCGUGUGACUGCGUACCUUUUGUAUAAUGGGUCAGCGACUUAUAUUCUGUAGCAAGGUUAACCGAAUAGGGGAGCCGAAGGGAAACCGAGUCUUAACUGGGCGUUAAGUUGCAGGGUAUAGACCCGAAACCCGGUGAUCUAGCCAUGGGCAGGUUGAAGGUUGGGUAACACUAACUGGAGGACCGAACCGACUAAUGUUGAAAAAUUAGCGGAUGACUUGUGGCUGGGGGUGAAAGGCCAAUCAAACCGGGAGAUAGCUGGUUCUCCCCGAAAGCUAUUUAGGUAGCGCCUCGUGAAUUCAUCUCCGGGGGUAGAGCACUGUUUCGGCAAGGGGGUCAUCCCGACUUACCAACCCGAUGCAAACUGCGAAUACCGGAGAAUGUUAUCACGGGAGACACACGGCGGGUGCUAACGUCCGUCGUGAAGAGGGAAACAACCCAGACCGCCAGCUAAGGUCCCAAAGUCAUGGUUAAGUGGGAAACGAUGUGGGAAGGCCCAGACAGCCAGGAUGUUGGCUUAGAAGCAGCCAUCAUUUAAAGAAAGCGUAAUAGCUCACUGGUCGAGUCGGCCUGCGCGGAAGAUGUAACGGGGCUAAACCAUGCACCGAAGCUGCGGCAGCGACACUAUGUGUUGUUGGGUAGGGGAGCGUUCUGUAAGCCUGUGAAGGUGUACUGUGAGGUAUGCUGGAGGUAUCAGAAGUGCGAAUGCUGACAUAAGUAACGAUAAAGCGGGUGAAAAGCCCGCUCGCCGGAAGACCAAGGGUUCCUGUCCAACGUUAAUCGGGGCAGGGUGAGUCGACCCCUAAGGCGAGGCCGAAAGGCGUAGUCGAUGGGAAACAGGUUAAUAUUCCUGUACUUGGUGUUACUGCGAAGGGGGGACGGAGAAGGCUAUGUUGGCCGGGCGACGGUUGUCCCGGUUUAAGCGUGUAGGCUGGUUUUCCAGGCAAAUCCGGAAAAUCAAGGCUGAGGCGUGAUGACGAGGCACUACGGUGCUGAAGCAACAAAUGCCCUGCUUCCAGGAAAAGCCUCUAAGCAUCAGGUAACAUCAAAUCGUACCCCAAACCGACACAGGUGGUCAGGUAGAGAAUACCAAGGCGCUUGAGAGAACUCGGGUGAAGGAACUAGGCAAAAUGGUGCCGUAACUUCGGGAGAAGGCACGCUGAUAUGUAGGUGAAGUCCCUCGCGGAUGGAGCUGAAAUCAGUCGAAGAUACCAGCUGGCUGCAACUGUUUAUUAAAAACACAGCACUGUGCAAACACGAAAGUGGACGUAUACGGUGUGACGCCUGCCCGGUGC